rnacentral:rRNA from 1 species
GGUAGUAUUAAAAUAAAAACCCAUAUAAAAUGGCGGUCAUAAUAAAUUAGAGGAACUCGCUUUAUAAUCGUCAAUACUCGUUGAUUUUCACUUAAUUUUUACAGUUUAUAUACCGCCGUUACAGAAUAUAUUUAAUAAUAUAAAUCACUAAAUAUCAAAAUAAAAAAUCAGGUCAAGGUGUAGUUAAUAAAUAAGAAAAAGUAAGUUACAAUAAAUAUUAUUUAAGAAUUAAAUUCACAAGAAGAUAUGAAAAAGAAUCUAAUUUCAAAUUCAAAUUAAAAACUUAAAUAGAAUAGUUAGUUAAUGACGC